GACGAACGCUGGCGGCGUGCCUAAUACAUGCAAGUUGAGCGCUGAAGGUUGGUACUUGUACCAACUGGAUGAGCAGCGAACGGGUGAGUAACGCGUGGGGAAUCUGCCUUUGAGCGGGGGACAACAUUUGGAAACGAAUGCUAAUACCGCAUAAAAACUUUAAACACAAGUUUUAAGUUUGAAAGAUGCAAUUGCAUCACUCAAAGAUGAUCCCGCGUUGUAUUAGCUAGUUGGUGAGGUAAAGGCUCACCAAGGCGAUGAUACAUAGCCGACCUGAGAGGGGGAUCGGCCACAUUGGGACUGAGACACGGCCCAAACUCCGACGGGAGGCAGCAGUAGGGAAUCUUCGGCAAUGGACGAAAGUCUGACCGAGCAACGCCGCGUGAGUGAAGAAGGUUUUCGGAUCGUAAAACGCUGUUGGUAGAGAAGAACGGUGGUGAGAGUGGAAAGCUCAUCAAGUGACGGUAACUACCCAGAAAGGGACGGCUAACUACG
rnacentral:rRNA from 1 species